rnacentral:misc_RNA from 1 species
AACGCACAUUGCGCCCCUGGGUAUUCCUAGGGGCAUGCCUGUUCGAGCGUCAUUUCAACCCUCAAGCUCAGCUUGGUCUUGGGCCAUGCCGGAAACGGCCGGCCUUAAAACUAGUGGCGGUGCCGCCGGGCUCUACGCGUAGUAACUAUAUCUCGCGUCUGGGUCCCGGCGGACGCUGGCCAGCAACCCUCAUUUUUUUUCUGGUUGACCUCGGAUCAGGUAGGGAUACCCGCUGAACUUAA